GAGUCACUGGCUCUCGUCUGCUUGUGGGUGAAGUUGGAGUCAAAGGCAGAGUCUGAUCUGAACAAAGACUCAGAUUUUUAAUGACAUCAGAAAUGAUUUAAUCCUCCAGGCUGCAUCGUGUCUUCACUGCAGUGCAUUAUAGGUAGAUUAAAUGGCAGACAUCCUAAUCAGUGCCCAGGGGGAGUGAAUACGGCGUGUGGUUUGGGACACAGCCCAUCCUUUUUUCUUACCAUAAUCUGGAACCAUCCAUUCUUUAGAAGGUGAGGCCGGGCGAGUCCAUUCUCUCUGUUCUGGAGGGGAGUGUGCGUUUCUGCUAUUUUUCAUCAUCUGGGCCCCGAGCCGCCCCCGAGCACUGAAGGAAAGAUGUAAGAUGUACACUCGAGAUGGAGACUAGGAGAAGUGCACUAAGAGGAGUGCACUAGAAGUGGUCGUGUUCUGAGUGCUCAUUUCCUGUCCCCACACUCGACCCAUCAUCUCCAACAGCUUCAGACGCUCCACACAGUCCUGCAGUCCCGAGACAUCCACUCCAUCCAGCUCACAGUGGACAUUUCAGUGCAGGUUUCCACCUGAUGAGGAAAAUCUCCCUGAGAAAACACGAGGAAGAAACCUUGUGAGGAACCAGACUCAGAAUCGAACUCAUUUUCUUCUGGAAAACUGACUUUCCACAUAUGAGCACGACUCACUGAGGAACAACACACACUUCUCUUGUUCUGUUCUCUGCUCUGUGCUCCAUCCUGGAACACACACUUUUCUUCUCAUCUCCUACUGAUCACAUCCUGAGUGUCUCGAUCCAAACAUGGAACAGAACCAGUGGACUGUCCACAAUCAAACCCUUUAGACCAAACGGGCUGCAUCACACACCCAUGCCAGAAGAAGGACAAACAUGCUGGCGGUCUAUGCAGCUUUUCUACUGGG